GGUACUCUGGCCGAGCGGUCUAAGGCGCCAGGGUAAGGUCCUGGUCUCAUUGAGGCGCGAGUUCGAAUCUCGCGAGUAUCA